rnacentral:rRNA from 1 species
GACGAACGCUGGCGGCGUGCCUAAUACAUGCAAGUAGAACGCACAGUUUAUACCGUAGCUUGCUACACCAUAGACUGUGAGUUGCGAACGGGUGAGUAACGCGUAGGUAACCUGCCUGGUAGCGGGGGAUAACUAUUGGAAACGAUAGCUAAUACCGCAUAAUAUUAAUUAUUGCAUGUUAAUUAAUUGAAAGGUGCAAUUGCACCACUACCAGAUGGACCUGCGUUGUAUUAGCUAGUAGGUGAGGUAACGGCUCACCUAGGCGACGAUACAUAGCCGACCUGAGAGGGUGAUCGGCCACACUGGGACUGAGACACGGCCCAGACUCCUACGGGAGGCAGCAGUAGGGAAUCUUCGGCAAUGGACGAAAGUCUGACCGAGCAACGCCGCGUGAGUGAAGAAGGUUUUCGGAUCGUAAAGCUCUGUUGUAAGAGAAGAACGGGUGUGAGAGUGGAAAGUUCACACUGUGACGGUAUCUUACCAGAAAGGGACGGCUAGCUACGUG